AGUGAACGCUGGCGGUAGGCCUAACACAUACAAGUCGAACGGCAGCACAGUAAGAGCUUGCUCUUACGGGUGGCGAGUGGCGGACGGGUGAGGAAUACAUCGGAAUCUACUUUUUCGUGGGGGAUAACGUAGGGAAACUUACGCUAAUACCGCGUACGACCUACGGGUGAAAGCAGGGGAUCUUCGGACCUUGCGCGAUUGAAUGAGCCGAUGUCGGAUUAGCUAGUUGGCGGGGUAAAGGCCCACCAAGGCGACGAUCCGUAGCUGGUCUGAGAGGAUGAUCAGCCACACUGGAACUGAGACACGGUCCAGACUCCUACGGGAGGCAGCAGUGGGGAAUAUUGGACAAUGGGCGCAAGCCUGAUCCAGCCAUACCGCGUGGGUGAAGAAGGCCUUCGGGUUGUAAAGCCCUUUUGUUGGGAAAGAAAAGCAGCAGGUUAAUACCCCGCUGUUCUGACGGUACCCAAAGAAUAAGCACCGGCUAACUUCGUG
rnacentral:rRNA from 1 species